rnacentral:lncRNA from 1 species
GCUGGUCAACCUACAUGGUCUGUUGGAAAGGCAUCACCCCAAGCCUCCACCACCAAUAAGCAGGAUCAGAGAAUGAAGAGCAUGGAGAAGCUCAAAAGGGAUCUCCAGAAGAUCAAAAAUGAGAGAGACGGACUCCAGGGAAUCCUAGCCAAUUACACUAACAAGGAUUUGAACAACAGGUAGUCAUUAUGCCCAGUUCUUUGCUGACUAAUCAAAAUUAGGACAUUCAUGCUCAAGAUGCAACAUGACCAGGUGAUGACUGACCUGAAGAGAAUGCCCCAGGACAUCAGUGAGGCCUUAUACAAGUACAAGGAGUUGACUAAAGAAAAUCAAUUCUACUGUUGAGUGACUAACAGGGUCCAUCGGGCACUGCCACCUCCAGAGUGAAUCUAACCAUCUCCAGCACAAAGUCAGGAUGUUGUGGAAGGAGAACAGACAAUUGCUAGAGGAGCAGAUUGCAUCAGAAGAAUGCUCUAAAGAAACAAAGAGUCUGUGUAUAGAAGGCAGCCUGAAGACAAAUGACCUAUGUACCAAGCAGCAGCUGGUACGAUGCAUAAAUCA